rnacentral:rRNA from 1 species
GUCUUUUUGUUAAAAAUUUAAAGUCGGGCCUGCCCCCUGAGAUUUUAAAUGGCCGUGGUAUUUUGACCGUGCUAAGGUAGCAUAAUCAUUAGUUUUUUAAUUGAAAGCUGGAAUGAAGGGUUUGAUAAAAAAAUAACUGUCUCUAUUUAAUUUUAUUAAAAUUUUAUUUUUAAGUUCAAAAGCUUAAAUUAAAUUAAAAGACGAGAAGACCCUAUAGAGUUUAAUAAUAUAAAAUAAUUUUUAUUUUUGAAUUAAAUUAUUUAUUUUUUUAUAUUAUUUAGUUGGGGUGAUUGAAAAAUUUAAUUAACUUUUUUUAUAUUUUACCAUUAAUUUAUGAUUGUUUGAUCCAAUUUUUUUGAUUAUAAGAUAAAAUUACCUUAGGGAUAACAGCGUAAUUUUUUUAAAAAGUUCAAAUUUAAAAAAAAGAUUGCGACCUCGAUGUUGGAUUAAAAUUAAAUUUUGGUGUAGAAGCUAAAAAUUUAAGUCUGUUCGACUUUUAAAAUUUUACA